rnacentral:rRNA from 1 species
AGUGAACGCUGGCGGUAGGCCUAACACAUGCAAGUCGAACGGCAGCACAGUAAGAGCUUGCUCUUACGGGUGGCGAGUGGCGGACGGGUGAGGAAUACAUCGGAAUCUACUUUUUCGUGGGGGAUAACGUAGGGAAACUUACGCUAAUACCGCAUACGACCUACGGGUGAAAGCAGGGGAUCUUCGGACCUUGCGCGAUUGAAUGAGCCGAAGUCGGAUUAGCUAGUUGGCGUGGUAAAGGCCCACCAAGGCGACGAUCCGUAGCUGGUCUGAGAGGAUGAUCAGCCACACUGGAACUGAGACACGGUCCAGACUCCUACGGGAGGCAGCAGUGGGGAAUAUUGGACAAUGGGCGCAAGCCUGAUCCAGCCAUACCGCGUGGGUGAAGAAGGCCUUCGGGUUGUAAAGCCCUUUUGUUGGGAAAGAAAAGCAGCAGGUUAAUACCCCGCUGUUCUGACGGUACCCAAAGAAUAAGCACCGGCUAACUUCGUG